rnacentral:sRNA from 1 species
UGCACAAUUAAAAAAUGGGAAAAAUAUCAAAAAAAUCACGAACUUUCAAAUUUGGGACGAUUUAAUCUUAAACUUCACAAAAGAU